rnacentral:rRNA from 1 species
AUUGAACGCUGGCGGCAUGCUUUACACAUGCAAGUCGAACGGCAGCGCGGGGGCAACCCUGGCGGCGAGUGGCGAACGGGUGAGUAAUACAUCGGAACGUGCCCGAUCGUGGGGGAUAACGAAGCGAAAGCUUUGCUAAUACCGCAUACGAUCUACGGAUGAAAGCAGGGGACCGCAAGGCCUUGCGCGAACGGAGCGGCCGAUGGCAGAUUAGGUAGUUGGUGGGAUAAAAGCUUACCAAGCCGACGAUCUGUAGCUGGUCUGAGAGGACGACCAGCCACACUGGGACUGAGACACGGCCCAGACUCCUACGGGAGGCAGCAGUGGGGAAUUUUGGACAAUGGGCGAAAGCCUGAUCCAGCCAUGCCGCGUGCAGGAUGAAGGCCUUCGGGUUGUAAACUGCUUUUGUACGGAACGAAAAGACUCUGGUUAAUACCUGGGGUCCAUGACGGUACCGUAAGAAUAAGUCUCGGCUAACUACGUG